UACGGCGGCCAUAGCGGAGGGGAAACGCCCGGUCCCAUUCCGAACCCGGAAGCUAAGCCCUCCAGCGCCGAUGGUACUGCACUCGACAGGGUGUGGGAGAGUCAGGACACCGCCGAAC
rnacentral:rRNA from 1 species